rnacentral:misc_RNA from 1 species
GAUGAAGAACGAAGCGAAAUGCGAUACGUAAUGUGAAUUGCAGAAUUCAGUGAAUCAUCGAAUCUUUGAACGCAUAUUGCGCUCUCUGGUAUUCCGGAGAGCAUGCUUGUUUGAGUAUCAGUAAACACCUCAACUUCCAUAUCUUUUUUGAAAUGGGAGUUGGACUUGAGUGAUCCCAACGCUUUUCCUCACCGAAAAGUGGCGGGUUACUUGAAAUGCAGGUGCAGCUGGACUUUUCUCUGAGCUAUAAGCAUAUCUAUUUAGUCUGCCUAAAAAACAGAUUAUUACCUUUGCUGCAGCUAACAUAAAGGAGAUUAGUUCUUGUGCUGACUGAUGCAGGAUUCACAAAGACAGCUUCGGCCGACUUUGUAAACUCGAUCUCAAAUCAAGUAAGACUACCCGCUGAACUUAAGCAUAUCAAUAAGCGGAGGA